UGGGGAAUAUUGCGCAAUGGGGGGAACCCUGACGCAGCCAUGCCGCGUGAAUGAAGAAGGCCUUAGGGUUGUAAAGUUCUUUCGGUAUUGAGGAAGGUUGAUGUGUUAAUAGCACAUCAAAUUGACGUUAAAUACAGAAGAAGCACCGGCUAACUCCGUGCCAGCAGCCGCGGUAAUACGGAGGGUGCGAGCGUUAAUCGGAAUAACUGGGCGUAAAAGGCACGCAGGCGGUUAUUUAAGUGAGGUGUGAAAGCCCCGGGCUUAACCUGGGAAUUGCAUUUCAGACUGGGUAACUAGAGUACUUUAGGGAGGGGUAGAAUUCCACGUGUAGCGGUGAAAUGCGUAGAGAUGUGGAGGAAUACCGAAGGCGAAGGCAGCCCCUUGGGAAUGUACUGACGCUCAUGUGCGAAAGCGUGGGGAGCAAACAGGAUUAGAUACCCUGGUAGUCCACGCUGUAAACGCUGUCGAUUUGGGGGUUGGGGUUUAACUCUGGCGCCCGUAGCUAACGUGAUAAAUCGACCGCCUGGGGAGUACGGCCGCAAGGUUA
rnacentral:rRNA from 1 species